GUGUCAGCCGCCGCGGUAAUACGUAGGGUGCGAGCGUUAAUCGGAAUUACUGGGCGUAAAGCGUGCGCAGGCGGUUCGUUAAGUUUGUCGUGAAAGCCCCGGGCUCAACCUGGGAAUGGCGAUGAAAACUGGCGAGCUGGAGUGUGGCAGAGGGGGGUGGAAUUCCAGGUGUAGCAGUGAAAUGCGUAGAGAUCUGGAGGAACACCGAUGGCGAAGGCAGCCCCCUGGGCUGACACUGACGCUCAGGCACGAAAGCGUGGGGAGCAAACAGGAUUAGAUACCCCCGUAGUCC
rnacentral:rRNA from 1 species